rnacentral:lncRNA from 1 species
CUCAGGGAUCAGGCUGCUCCAUAUUCACUCUCUUUAAAAAGAUCAGCAUUCAUUUUCCUUUAAAGUUGGGGUUAGUCUGCCUGAGUUGCAUACAAAUAAGAUGAAUGAAUUCAUUACCAAAAGCUAGAUUAAGUUUUGCAGCUGUUCCGCCUGGGGAUCUAGUGGAGAGAGGGGCCAGCACAACUGAAAAUCCUUUACUGAUCAAGGCAGUCUGAAAAUGCAAUCUUACGCGCGCCUGAAUCUUCCCUGACUUCAUGAAGGAAUCAGUGAUGGCCAAGAGGAACACUAGCAGAGUAGCCAGGACAAGCGGGCAAUGAAACGGGCUGAUUGUAUUCAUGACUGUGGUCGUGACUGAGAGCUGCAGGCUCAUAUGUUGCCUGGAAGACCACCUGCUAAGCCUUGGCAUGCAGUGGUUUCAGAGAGAGCUCUUUACUGCCGUCCCAUGGAGAAUCAAUGAAUGGCUGUGGCUGUGAGUUAGGAGGCACUGCUAGCUCUCCCACUAAGCAGGUAAGUGUGGGCACAUUGCAUAAUCUGGGGUAAGUUAAUUUGUGUGGGCCUCAGUUUCCU